rnacentral:lncRNA from 1 species
CACGAAGAACAAAACAAUUGACCAGUGUAUUCGCAGAGCCGAGGCUUUCCCCAACCAAGGGUCUUGGCGAAAUCAUGUAUAAGUGUGUUACUAGCACCAACAUGCUUGUAGCAUCCAGCACAAGUCUCAUGUUGUGCUUCUAACAAUUGUUUCAUAGAUUUGUGAGGCCGAAUUUCAACAAUCAGGUGUAUUGUCUUCCCAAAAGUACCUA